CACUGAGACACGGGAGGGGUUAUAGAUACUACAACAAGAAGGUAGUGACACUACACACUGAGACACUGGAGGGGUUAUAGAUACUACAACAAGAAGGUAGUGACACUACACACUGAGGCACGGGAGGGGUUAUAGAUACUACAACAAGAAGGUAGUGACACUACACACUGAGGCACUGGAGGGGUUAUAGAUACUACAACAAGAAGGUAGUGACACUACACACUGAGGCACUG